rnacentral:rRNA from 3 species
GGGUUGUGAGGUUAAGCGACUAAGCGUACACGGUGGAUGCCCUGGCAGUCAGAGGCGAUGAAGGACGUGCUAAUCUGCGAAAAGCGUCGGUAAGGUGAUAUGAACCGUUAUAACCGGCGAUGUCCGAAUGGGGAAACCCAGUGCAAUUCGUUGCACUAUCGUUAACUGAAUACAUAGGUUAACGAGGCGAACCGGGGGAACUGAAACAUCUAAGUACCCCGAGGAAAAGAAAUCAACCGAGAUUCCCCCAGUAGCGGCGAGCGAACGGGGAGCAGCCCAGAGUCUGAAUCAGCUUGUGUGUUAGUGGAACGGUCUGGAAAGUCCGACGGUACAGGGUGAUAGUCCCGUACACCAAAAUGCACAGGUUGUGAACUCGAAGAGUAGGGCGGGACACGUGGUAUCCUGUCUGAAUAUGGGGGGACCAUCCUCCAAGGCUAAAUACUCCUGACUGACCGAUAGUGAACCAGUACCGUGAGGGAAAGGCGAAAAGAACCCCGGCGAGGGGAGUGAAAAAGAACCUGAAACCGUGUACGUACAAGCAGUGGGAGCACCUUCGGGUGUGACUGCGUACCUUUUGUAUAAUGGGUCAGCGACUUAUAUUCUGUAGCAAGGUUAACCGUAUAGGGGAGCCGCAGGGAAACCGAGUCUUAACUGGGCGUUAAGUUGCAGGGUAUAGACCCGAAACCCGGUGAUCUAGCCAUGGGCAGGUUGAAGGUUGGGUAACACUAACUGGAGGACCGAACCGACUAAUGUUGAAAAAUUAGCGGAUGACUUGUGGCUGGGGGUGAAAGGCCAAUCAAACCGGGAGAUAGCUGGUUCUCCCCGAAAGCUAUUUAGGUAGCGCCUCGUGAACUCAUCUUCGGGGGUAGAGCACUGUUUCGGCUAGGGGGUCAUCCCGACUUACCAACCCGAUGCAAACUACGAAUACCGAAGAAUGUUAUCACGGGAGACACACGGCGGGUGCUAACGUCCGUCGUGAAGAGGGAAACAACCCAGACCGCCAGCUAAGGUCCCAAAGUCAUGGUUAAGUGGGAAACGAUGUGGGAAGGCACAGACAGCCAGGAUGUUGGCUUAGAAGCAGCCAUCAUUUAAAGAAAGCGUAAUAGCUCACUGGUCGAGUCGGCCUGCGCGGAAGAUGUAACGGGGCUAAACCAUGCACCGAAGCUGCGGCAGCGACACUAUGUGUUGUUGGGUAGGGGAGCGUUCUGUAAGCCUGCGAAGGUGUGCUGUGAGGCAUGCUGGAGGUAUCAGAAGUGCGAAUGCUGACAUAAGUAACGAUAAAGCGGGUGAAAAGCCCGCUCGCCGGAAGACCAAGGGUUCCUGUCCAACGUUAAUCGGGGCAGGGUGAGUCGACCCCUAAGGCGAGGCCGAAAGGCGUAGUCGAUGGGAAACAGGUUAAUAUUCCUGUACUUGGUGUUACUGCGAAGGGGGGACGGAGAAGGCUAUGUUAGCCGGGCGACGGUUGUCCCGGUUUAAGCAUGUAGGCUGGUUAUCCAGGCAAAUCCGGAUAAUCAAGGCUGAGGUGUGAUGACGAGGCACUACGGUGCUGAAGUAACAAAUGCCCUGCUUCCAGGAAAAGCCUCUAAGCAUCAGGUAACAUCAAAUCGUACCCCAAACCGACACAGGUGGUCAGGUAGAGAAUACCAAGGCGCUUGAGAGAACUCGGGUGAAGGAACUAGGCAAAAUGGUGCCGUAACUUCGGGAGAAGGCACGCUGGUGUGUAGGUGAAGUCCCUGCGGAUGGAGCUGAGACCAGUCGAAGAUACCAGCUGGCUGCAACUGUUUAUUAAAAACACAGCACUGUGCAAACACGAAAGUGGACGUAUACGGUGUGACGCCUGCCCGGUGCCGGAAGGUUAAUUGAUGGGGUUAUCCGUAAGGAGAAGCUCUUGAUCGAAGCCCCGGUAAACGGCGGCCGUAACUAUAACGGUCCUAAGGUAGCGAAAUUCCUUGUCGGGUAAGUUCCGACCUGCACGAAUGGCGUAAUGAUGGCCAGGCUGUCUCCACCCGAGACUCAGUGAAAUUGAACUCGCUGUGAAGAUGCAGUGUACCCGCGGCAAGACGGAAAGACCCCGUGAACCUUUACUAUAGCUUGACACUGAACAUUGAGCCUUGAUGUGUAGGAUAGGUGGGAGGCUUUGAAGCGUGGACGCCAGUCUGCGUGGAGCCAACCUUGAAAUACCACCCUUUAAUGUUUGAUGUUCUAACGUUGGCCCCUGACCGGGGUUGCGGACAGUGUCUGGUGGGUAGUUUGACUGGGGCGGUCUCCUCCCAAAGCGUAACGGAGGAGCACGAAGGUUAGCUAAUCCUGGUCGGACAUCAGGAGGUUAGUGCAAUGGCAUAAGCUAGCUUGACUGCGAGCGUGACGGCGCGAGCAGGUGCGAAAGCAGGUCAUAGUGAUCCGGUGGUUCUGAAUGGAAGGGCCAUCGCUCAACGGAUAAAAGGUACUCCGGGGAUAACAGGCUGAUACCGCCCAAGAGUUCAUAUCGACGGCGGUGUUUGGCACCUCGAUGUCGGCUCAUCACAUCCUGGGGCUGAAGUAGGUCCCAAGGGUAUGGCUGUUCGCCAUUUAAAGUGGUACGCGAGCUGGGUUUAGAACGUCGUGAGACAGUUCGGUCCCUAUCUGCCGUGGGCGCUGGAGAAUUGAGGGGGGCUGCUCCUAGUACGAGAGGACCGGAGUGGACGCAUCACUGGUGUUCGGGUUGUCAUGCCAAUGGCACUGCCCGGUAGCUAAAUGCGGAAGAGAUAAGUGCUGAAAGCAUCUAAGCACGAAACUUGCCCCGAGAUGAGUUCUCCCUGAGACUUUAAGUCUCCUGAAGGAACGUUGAAGACGACGACGUUGAUAGGCCGGGUGUGUAAGCGCAGCGAUGCGUUGAGCUAACCGGUACUAAUGAACCGUGAGGCUUAACCUUACAACGCCGAAG